GGAAGAAGCGCAAGUGACGGUACCUGCAGAAGAAGCACCGGCUAACUACGUGCCAGCAGCCGCGGUAAUACGUAGGGUGCGAGCGUUGUCCGGAAUUAUUGGGCGUAAAGAGCUCGUAGGCGGCUUGUCGCGUCGGAUGUGAAAGCCCGGGGCUUAACCCCGGGUCUGCAUUCGAUACGGGCAGGCUAGAGUGUGGUAGGGGAGAUCGGAAUUCCUGGUGUAGCGGUGAAAUGCGCAAAUAUCAGGAGGAACACCGGUGGCGAAGGCGGAUCUCUGGGCCAUUACUGACGCUGAGGAGCGAAAGCGUGGGGAGCGAACAGGAUUAGAUACCCUGGUAGUCCACGCCGUAAACGUUGGGAACUAGGUGUUGGCGACAUUCCACGUCGUCGGUGCCGCAGCUAACGCAUUAAGUUCCCCGCCUGGGGAGUACGGCCGCAAGGCUAAAACUCAAAGGAAUUGACGGGGGCCCGCACAAGCAGCGGAGCAUGUGGCUUAAUUCGACGCAACGCGAAGAACCUUACCAAGGCUUGACAUAUACCGGAAACGGCCAGAGAUGGUCGCCCCCUUGUGGUCGGUAUACAGGUGGUGCAUGGCUGUCGU
rnacentral:rRNA from 2 species